rnacentral:rRNA from 1 species
AGCGAACGCUGGCGGCAGGCCUAAUACAUGCAAGUCGAGCGGCCGUAGCAAUACGGCAGCGGCAGACGGGAGAGUAACACGUGGGAACGUGCCCUUCAGUUCGGAACAACCCAGGGAAACUUGGGCUAAUACCGGAUACGCCCUUACGGGGAAAGAUUUAUCGCUGAUGGAGCGGCCCGCGUCUGAUUAGCUAGUUGGUGAGGUAACGGCUCACCAAGGCGACGAUCAGUAGCUGGUCUGAGAGGAUGAUCAGCCUCACUGGGACUGAGACACGGCCCAGACUCCUACGGGAGGCAGCAGUAGGGAAUAUUGGACAAUGGGCGCAAGCCUGAUCCAGCCAUGCCGCGUGAGUGAUGAAGGCCUUAGGGUUGUAAAGCUCUUUCGGCGGGGAAGAUAAUGACGGUACCCGCAGAAGAAGCCCCGGCUAACUUCGUGCCAGCCGCCGCAGUAAAAC